GAUGAAGAACGCAGCGAAAUGCGAUAAGUAAUGUGAAUUGCAGAAUCCAGUGAAUCAUCGAAUCUUUGAACGCACAUUGCGCCCGCCAGCAUUCUGGCGGGCAUGCCUGUUCGAGCGUCAUUUCAACCCUCGACCUCCCUUUGGGGAAGUCGGCGUUGGGGACCGGCAGCACACCGCCGGCCCUGAAAUGGAGUGGCGGCCCGUCCGCGGCGACCUCUGCGUAGUAAACCAACUCGCACCGGAACCCCGACGUGGCCACGCCGUAAAACACCCAACUUCUGAACGUUGACCUCGAAUCAGGUAGGACUACCCGCUGAACUUAAGCAUAUCAAUAAGCGGAGA
rnacentral:misc_RNA from 1 species